rnacentral:rRNA from 1 species
CGCGCAGGCGGGAACAUUAGUCUAUCUUAAAAGUGCGGGGCUCAACCCCGUGAUGGGGUAGGAAACUGUGUCUCUUGAGUGCAGGAGAGGAAAGUGGAAUUCCCAGUGUAGCGGUGAAAUGCGUAGAGAUUGGGAGGAACACCAGUGGCGAAGGCGACUUUCUGGACUGUGUCUGACGCUGAGGCGCGAAAGCCAGGGGAGUGAACGGGAUUAGAUACCCCGGUAAUCCUGGCUGUAAACGAUGGGUACUAGGUGUAGGAGGUAUCGACCCCUUCUGUGCCGGAGUUAACGCAAUAAGUACCCCGCCUGGGGAGUACGAUCGCAAGGUUGAA